GAUGAACGCUGGCGGCAUGCCUAACACAUGCAAGUCGAUCGGUAAGGCUCUUCGGGGUACACGAGAGGCGGACGGCUGAGUAACGCGUAGGAACACACCCUGCAGUGAGGGAUAAGACACCGAAAGGUGUUCUAAUACCGCAUACGGUCUUCGGAUUAAAGCAUUUAUGCGCUGAAGGAGUGGCCUGCGUCAUAUUAGAUAGUUGGUGAGGUAAUGGCUCACCAAGUCGAUGAUGUGUAGCUGGUCUGAGAGGAUGAUCAGCCAGACUGGAACUGAGACACGGUCCAGACUCCUACGGGAGGCAGCAGUGAGGAAUAUUUCACAAUGAGCGAAAGCUUGAUGGAGCAAUGCCGCGUGCAGGAUGAAGGCCCUCGGGUUGUAAACUGCUUUCAUAAGAGAAGAUUAUGACGGUAACUUAUGAAUAAGGGACGGCUAACUACGUG
rnacentral:rRNA from 1 species